rnacentral:rRNA from 1 species
AACGAACGCUGGCGGCAUGCCUAACACAUGCAAGUCGAACGAGACCUUCGGGUCUAGUGGCGCACGGGUGCGUAACGCGUGGGAAUCUGCCCUGGGGUGCGGAAUAACUCGGAGAAAUCCGUGCUAAUACCGCAUAAUGUCUUCGGACCAAAGAUUUAUCGCCCUGGGAUGAGCCCGCGUAGGAUUAGCUAGUUGGUGGGUAAAGGCCUACCAAGGCGACGAUCCUUAGCUGGUCUGAGAGGAUGAUCAGCCACACUGGGACUGAGACACGGCCCAGACUCCUACGGGAGGCAGCAGUGGGGAAUAUUGGACAAUGGGCGAAAGCCUGAUCCAGCAAUGCCGCGUGAGUGAUGAAGGCCCUAGGGUGUAAAGCUCUUUUACCCGGGAUGAUAAUGACAGUACCGGGAGAAUAAGCUCCGGCUAACUCCGUGCCAGCAGCCGCGGUAAU